CACAAAAUAUAUCAAUUUUUUUUUUUUCGAAUUUGACGUUUGUAUUUUUUAUCAAUUUUCAUUCGGCCAGUGAUAAUAGAGUAAUGAUCUCGGUUUUAUCUGGACUGAAGGCAAUUUCCAGAGAUAGUCAGGGACGGCCAGAAUGAAGAUCUAAUUCUUAGUGUUUUUAUUGAAUAUUUCCAUAAUUAAUAGCCUUUUAUCCUUUGUGCUUUGUCUAAUCAAUCGGGUGGGGAACUACUUCAUAUUUUUGCUCAUUGUAACAUUCUUUAAUCACCGCUAUUGUUAGUUGCGUUUAUCAACCCCGUCACGCCUGUCAGUAGUCAAUAAUUGCAAUAAAAUGACCCGAGCAGGAAAACACCUCGUCAAAUUUCACAAUUGUAGAAUAUUGAGAAACGGAGAGAUUAUUAGGGAGCAUUUGUGGGUACGUGAUGGACUGAUUGUGGAUCCAGAAAAGAUUUUUUAUGAUGAAAAGAUCAAACCCGAUGAGGUCAUUGACUGCAGGGGAGCCCUUAUAUCACCAGGGUUCAUUGAAAUGCAGAUCAAUGGGGGAUAUGGCAUUGACUUCUCUCACAACGUUGAUCACGUGGAGGAGGGCAUCUGCAAGGUAGCCAAGGAGCUCCUGGCACAUGGGGUGACCUCGUUCUGUCCAACUCUGGUGACAUCCUCUCCUGAAACUUAUCGCAAGGUCCUUCCGAGGAUCAAGAAGACUGAUGGAGGUCCUCAGGGCGCUGGGAUUAUUGGUGUUCACGUGGAGGGGCCUUUUAUUAGUGCGAAUAAAAAAGGAGCACACGAGGAAUUCUAUAUCAAACGAUUUGAUGAAGGAUUUAAAACUCUCAUGGAGGUGUAUGGAAGCCUCGACAACAUAUGUUACGUUACGCUAGCUCCAGAACUUCCUAAUGCUUGUGAUGUUAUUGCCGAACUGUGCAAUAGAAAAAUUAAGGUUUCUGUAGGUCACUCAGUAGCUAAUCUGAAAGAAGGGGAAGAGGCUGUGAGGGUUGGGGCAUCCUUCAUCACUCAUUUAUUCAAUGCGAUGCUGCCAUUCCAUCACAGAGAUCCAGGCCUGGUUGGUCUUUUGACAUCCAAUGAAAUUCCGUCAUCGAAAAAAGUUCACUUCGGAAUAAUUGCGGAUGGUAUUCACACUCACCCCGCUGCCUUACGAAUUGCCCAUAGAACUGAUCCAGAAGGACUCGUUCUGGUGACCGAUGCAAUUUCUGCUCUGGGUCUACGAGAGGGUAUCCAUAGACUAGGACAACUGGAUAUCGAGGUCAGGGGUGGGCGUGCGUACAUUGCCAGGACCGAUACAUUAUGUGGAAGCACUGCUGAGAUGUCUGAAUGUGUUAGAUUCUUCAAACAAGCCACAGGUUGCUCAGUGGUGGAUGCUCUGGAAGCUGCCACUUUGCAUCCUGCCAAGGCCCUAGGUCUGGAAACGCACAAGGGUGUCCUUGAUUUUGGCGCUGAUGCUGACUUCAUAAUGCUUAAUGAUAACUUGGACGUGCUGUCCACUUGGAUUGCUGGAGAGCGAGUUUACGUGAAUAUAAAAUCUCUAGCUUCUGAUAGAGCUGAACUCGCACGACAAGGAACUCCUGAAUCCUUAUGAAGACCCAAGAACCUAAUGCAUUUAUUUCUCAGGAAAGGUUUUUACUAAAAAAAUCAUGACUAUUUUUGUAACCAGUGCUGACGAAGUUUGGAGAUUUUUAUAAUGAUCAAACAAUCUUUAUUCUCUGUUGAAUAUGCUCUUCAAGCACUGUCCAUUAAUUUUGGAGAGAGAAACAAUGUGUGGUGUCAGCGAAAAAUUAAAACAGAUGGUGUGUGAGGAUGUAAUCGAUGGAAGCCGUCGCUAUUGACUUAGUACGAGGAUAGAGGAUCCUUCAAG